rnacentral:lncRNA from 1 species
CUUCCUUGUGGCUAGAAGUGGGCAUGCAAUGAGUAGCAUCAACAGAAUGCACAAUUCUGGGUCAUCUUCAAAGAAGGAGCCCAGCUGACCUGGCUUUCCUUGAGCUGCAGUGCAGACACGGCACAGAGCCUGCAGGUUACCCUUCACCAUGACAAUGUAGACAACUUCCAGAUGAACGAGCGGCUGAGGAGCGCGGUGGCUGGCCCUGGACUCACCCAUAUCCGCUGA